AGCGAACGCUGGCGGCAGGCCUAACACAUGCAAGUCGAACGAAGUCUUCGGACUUAGUGGCGGACGGGUGGGUAACACGUGGGAACGUGCCUUUAGGUUCGGAAUAACUCAGGGAAACUUGUGCUAAUACCGAAUGUGCCCUUCGGGGGAAAGAUUUAUCGCCUUUAGAGCGGCCCGCGUCUGAUUAGCUAGUUGGUUGGGUUAAUGGCCCACCAAGGCGACGAUCAGUAGCUGGUCUGAGAAGAUGACCAGCCACAUUGGGACUGAGACACGGCCCAAACUCCAACGGGAGGCAGCAGUGGGGAAUCUUGCGCAAUAGGCGAAAGCCUAACGCAGCCAUGCCGCGUGGAUGAUGAAGGUCUUAGGAUUGUAAAAUCCUUUCACCGGUGAAGAUAAUGACUGUAGCCGGAGAAGAAGCCCCGGCUAACUUCGUGCCAGCCGCCGCCGUAAUAC
rnacentral:rRNA from 1 species